GGGAUAACCUUGCGAAAGUAAGACUAAUACCCAAUGAUAUCUCUAGAAGGCAUCUGAAAGAGAUUAAAGAUUUAUCGGUGAUGGAUGGGGAUGCGUCUGAUUAGCUUGUUGGCGGGGUAACGGCCCACCAAGGCAACGAUCAGUAGGGGUUCUGAGAGGAAGGUCCCCCACAUUGGAACUGAGACACGGUCCAAACUCCUACGGGAGGCAGCAGUGAGGAAUAUUGGUCAAUGGACGAGAGUCUGAACCAGCCAAGUAGCGUGCAGGAAGACGGCCCUAUGGGUUGUAAACUGCUUUUAUAAGGGAAUAAAGUGAGUCUCGUGAGACUUUUUGCAUGUACCUUAUGAAUAAGGACCGGCUAAUUCCGUGCCAGCAGCCGCGGUAAUACGGAAGGUCCGGGCGUUAUCCGGAUUUAUUGGGUUUAAAGGGAGCGUAGGCCGGAGAUUAAGCGUGUUGUGAAAUGUAGAUGCUCAACAUCUGAACUGCAGCGCGAACUGGUUUCCUUGAGUACGCACAAAGUGGGCGGAAUUCGUGGUGUAGCGGUGAAAUGCUUAGAUAUCACGAAGAACUCCGAUUGCGAAGGCAGCUCACUGGAGCGCAACUGACGCUGAAGCUCGAAAGUGCGGGUAUCGAACAGGAUUAGAUACCCUGGUAGUCCGCACGGUAAACGAUGGAUGCCCGCUGUUGGUCUGAAUAGGUCAGCGGCCAAG
rnacentral:rRNA from 1 species